GCAGUGAUGGUUCACUGAUAGAAUUUUCAUCUUCCAUGUGGGAGACCUGGGUUCAAUUCCUGGCCAAUGCA
rnacentral:tRNA from 1 species